rfam:Danio rerio chromosome 4, GRCz11 reference primary assembly.
AGCCGGCUAGUUCAGUUGGUAGAGCAUGAGACCCUUAAUCUCAAGGUCGUGGGUUCGAGCCCCGCGUUGGGUG